GAUGAACGCUGGCGGCGUGCCUAAUACAUGCAAGUCGAGCGAACGGACGAGAAGCUUGCUUCUCUGAUGUUAGCGGCGGACGGGUGAGUAACACGUGGAUAACCUACCUAUAAGACUGGGAUAACUUCGGGAAACCGGAGCUAAUACCGGAUAAUAUUUUGAACCGCAUGGUUCAAAAGUGAAGGACGGUCUUGCUGUCACUUAUAGAUGGAUCCGCGCUGCAUUAGCUAGUUGGUAAGGUAACGGCUUACCAAGGCAACGAUGCAUAGCCGACCUGAGAGGGUGAUCGGCCACACUGGAACUGAGACACGGUCCAGACUCCUACGGGAGGCAGCAGUAGGGAAUCUUACGCAAUGGGCGAAAGCCUGACGGAGCAACGCCGCGUGAGUGAUGAAGGUCUUCGGAUCGUAAAACUCUGUUAUUAGGGAAGAACAUAUGUGGAAGUAACUGUGCACAUCUUGACGGUACCUAAUCAGAAAGCCACGGCUAACUACGUG
rnacentral:rRNA from 1 species